rnacentral:rRNA from 1 species
UACGAAGGUCCCAAGCGUUGUUCGGAAUCACUGGGCGUAAAGCGUGCGCAGGCGGUCUUGAAAGUUAGAAGUGAAAGCCCAGGGCUUAACCCUGGAAUUGCUUUUAAAACUCCAAGACUAGAGUACUGGAGAGGUUAGCGGGAUUCCGAGUGUAGAGGUGAAAUUCGCAGAUAUUCGGAGGUACACCAAUGGCGUAGGCAGCUAACUGGACAGUAACUGACGCUCAGGCACGAAAGCGUGGGGAUCAAACAGG